GAGCAGGAUGUUUGCCAAGUUUAUGUUGAGCUUCAUUUUACUGUAUUCCAUCUUUACCCACACACAAGGCUCUGGAUUUCUCCAGGACUCACCCAGCCUGAAAAUGACCUUCAGUAAUUUCCAUAAAUGGAACUGGCAGACCUAACAGUAGAAGAUCUCUCUGAGAUCUCGUCUCACAGGCCAAUCGAUGUACCCCUUUUUUUCCAGUUUAUUUGUUAACUAAAACCAUAUCCAGAUGAAUGGGAGCUUCACUAAAGUUUGUGUUCCUUUGGAAUUUACAAUCAGCUUCAAUGAGACCCAAGAAGAGCGAAUUCUACAACUAACACUCAGGAGUGAGAUGACCUUCCGUGGUACCAACUCUUCUGGAGAAACAGUAAGCUCCUCUAUGCUGCAGUGUAGCCUUCCGAAGGGGUGUGAGCAUGCCUACCAACUCUAUCCCAAGCAAUUAAGACAGUGUGCUGCGCACGGACUUGGUGGACCUCCUGCCUUUCACUUGAAGUUGAGGUGAUGCUGAUUUAAAAACUGCUCAAGAAGCCCAGUCUGACUUCUGUGAGAUCAUGUCUGCUCUACUAUGCUGUGGUUAUGAAUCACAUGGCAAUACCUUCAUUCUUCAGUAACCUGAACAGAAGAAUUCUAGCACGAACCUGGUCGACAAUGGAGAGCGGUGAUAUAGCCGACAGCACAGUCCGCUCUCUCACUUUUUCUUCUUGAAAAUGGUGAUCACUGUGGCUUCUUGACAUCCUGUGCCAUUUCUUCUAUGUUCCGUAUAAUGAUGAAAAGACCCUACAGAUUUCUAAGCAUUCAGUCUCCUACCUGCAGAGAGAUUUACCAUUUUUCGCAUCUUAGCCUGCAGUGGUGUUUUCCUUUUAAUAUUGAAGUUCCAGCCAUGCAUACACCUUUUGAUUGGUUCUCUAUGCAUCAAAGAACAUAAUCCUUGACGUCGGAAGUUGUGUUCAUACUAUCACCGGGAGUUGAGAUUUUCAAUAAAUAACGG